UACAGGGGGUGCAAACGUUGCUCGGAAUUAUUGGGCGUAAAGCGCGCGUAGGCGGCCACUUGAGUCGGAUGUGAAAGCCCCUGGCUCAACUGGGGAAGUGCACCCGAAACUGAAUGGCUUGAAUGCAAAAGAGGGUCGCGGAAUUCCCGGUGUAGAGGUGAAAUUCGUAGAUAUCGGGAGGAACACCGGUGGCGAAGGCGGCGACCUGGGUUGACAUUGACGCUGAGGCGCGAAAGCGUGGGGAGCAAACAGG
rnacentral:rRNA from 1 species